rnacentral:lncRNA from 1 species
CCCCAAAAAAAAAUUCACGGAGAGGCUGCUCAGGGUGGGGGAGGGGUUUUUUUAUUUAUUGCUCUACUCAGGACCCCUCCCCAAAAUAAAAACUUGAAUCCGGCUCCGUUUCCCUGCGCUUUUCCUUGGGGGUUCCGGGCCUUUUCCGGAACAUUCUGGGGCUUUCUAGGGUUUUUCUGGGGCUUUUCCGGAACAUUCUGGGGCUUUUCCGGAACAUUCCGGGGCUUUUCCGGAACAUUCCGGGGCUUUUCCAGAACAUUCCGGGCCUUUUCUGGAACAUUCCGGGGCUAUUCCGGAACAUUCCGGGGUUUUUCCGGAACAUUCUGGGUUUUUCCAGAACAUUCUGGGUUUUUCCAGAACAUUCCGGGGCUUUUACGGGGUUUUCCGAGAACAUUCUGGGGCUUUUCCAGAACAUUCUGGGCCUUUUCCGGAACAUUCCGGGGCUUUUCUGGGGCUUUUCCAGAACAUUCCGGGGCUUUUCCAGAACAUUCUGGGCCUUUUCCGGAACAUUCCGGGGCUUUUCCGGAACAUUCCGGGGUUUUUCUGGAACAUUCCGGGGUUUUCCAGAACAUUCCGGGGUUUUCCGGAACAUUCUGGGCCUUUUCUGGAACAUUCCGGGGUUUUCCCAGAACAUUCCGGGCCUUUUCCAGAACAUUCCGGGGUUUUCCCAGAACAUUCCGGGCCUUUUCCAGAACAUUCCGGGGUUUUUCCAGAACAUUCCGGGCCUUUUCCAGAACAUUCCGGGGUUUUUCCAGAACAUUCCGGGGUUUUUCCGGAACAUUCCGGGGGUUUUUCCAGAACAUUCCGGGGUUUUUCCGGAACAUUCCGGGGGUUUUGCCGGGGUUUUUCCAGAACAUUCCAGGGUUUUUUCCGGGGGUUUUUCCGGAACAUUCCGGGGUUUUUUCCGGGGUUUUUCCCCCGGUUCUGGAGUUCUCCCGCUGUUUUCCCGUGGAAUUCCGGCGUUUUCAGGUGUUUUGCUGGGGGUUGGGGGAGCUUUUCCUGCCUUUCUGCUUCUUCCCGUUGACGGCUGUUGUUGGCUCGGUGUUCCCGGGGUUUUUCCAGCUGUUCCCGGGGUUUUUCCCGCUGUUCCCGGGGUUUUUCCAGCUGUUCCCGGGGCUGUUCCCGGUGUUUUUCCCGUUGUUCUCGGGAUCUUUCCCGCUGUUCCCGGUGCUCCAAUGGUUUUUCCAGGUGUUCCCGGAGCUUUUCCCGGUGUUCCCGGGGUCUUUCCCGGUGUUCCCAGGGUCUUUCCCGCUGUUCCCGGGGUUUUUCCCGGUGCUCCAAUGGUUUUUCCCGGUGUUCCUGGGGUCUUUCCCGGUGUUCCCGGUGCUCCAAUGGUUUUUCCCGCUGUUCCUGGGGUCUUUCCCAGUGUUCCCGGGGUUUUUCCCGGCAUUCCCAGGGUUUUUCCAGGUGUUCCCGGUGCUCCCAGCAUUUAUCCCGGUGUUCCCGGGGCUUUUCCCGGUGUCUUUCCCGUUGUUCUUCCUGGUGUUCUCAGGGUCUUUCCCGGUGUUUUUCCCGUUGUUUUUCCCGGUAUUCCUGGUGUUCCCGGUGUCAUUCCCGGUGUUCCCGGUGUUUUUCCCGCUGUUCCCGGUGUCAUUCCCGGUGUUUUUCCUGGUGUCAUUCCCGGUGUUUUUCCCGGUAUUCCCGGUGUUUUUCCCGGUAUUUUUCCUGGUGUCAUUCCCGGUGUUUUUCCCG